rnacentral:rRNA from 1 species
GAUGAACGCUGGCGGCGUGCCUAACACAUGCAAGUCGAACGGAGUUCUUAAGGAAUGCGGCUUCGGCUAAAUGACUUUUGAACUUAGUGGCGGACGGGUGAGUAACGCGUGAGCAACCUGCCUUUCAGAGGGGGAUAACAUUUGGAAACAGAUGCUAAUACCGCAUAAGAUUACAGUACCGCAUGAUACAGUGAUCAAAGGAGCAAUCCGCUGAAAGAUGGGCUCGCGUCCGAUUAGAUAGUUGGUGAGGUAACGGCUCACCAAGUCGACGAUCGGUAGCCGGACUGAGAGGUUGAACGGCCACAUUGGGACUGAGACACGGCCCAGACUCCUACGGGAGGCAGCAGUGGGGAAUAUUGCACAAUGGGCGAAAGCCUGAUGCAGCAACGCCGCGUGAGGGAAGACGGUUUUCGGAUUGUAAACCUCUGUUUUCGGUGACGAACAAAUGACGGUAACCGAGUAGGAAGCCACGGCUAACUACGUGCCAGCAGCCGCGGUAAUACGUAGGUGGCAAGCGUUAUCCGGAAUUACUGGGUGUAAAGGGAGCGCAGGCGGGAUAGCAAGUCAGCUGUGAAAACUAUGGGCUCAACCCAUAAACUGCAGUUGAAACUGUUAUUCUUGAGUGGAGUAGAGGCAAGCGGAAUUCCGAGUGUAGCGGUGAAAUGCGUAGAUAUUCGGAGGAACACCAGUGGCGAAGGCGGCUUGCUGGGCUCUAACUGACGCUGAGGCUCGAAAGUGUGGGGAGCAAACAGGAUUAGAUACCCUGGUAGUCCACACUGUAAAC